AGAGCUCAGUGAGCUGGUGCCCACAGUGCACAGUGACGGAGGUUCUCUGGGAGCAGUCCCGACUCCAGAGGUGUGCGGUCUCCUCUCAGCCUCUCCCCCUCCUUGCACGCUUUCCGGGCUGCUUUCCCAAGCAGGGGAUCACCCUGUGCACCGCUUGGGCUGAGCAGCCCUCUGUCCACCCCCAGCACUUCUACCCAGCUGGGGAACUGAGCCUGCGUGUGGCUGAGAGCCGCCACAGAAAGCACCUGGCCGUAGGCACAACGCUGUCACACACGGGACUUAGUUCUGCUUUCAGCCCCCUCCACCCCCAGCUUGCACCACGCUGAGAAAAACUCUUGCAAAAAAAAAACCAGAGCAAAGUGAAGGAAAAAGAGACUCCAGAUGCUGAAGAACAGAAAAAGAAAAAAAAAAAAAAAAAAAGAGCAAGAAGAGAGAGAAAAGGAGCAGCGAAUGCUGCUGUGCGUGUAAGAGACGCUGGAGAGGACAGGAGCAUCGUGGACCAGUGCGGCGUCCAGGCUGGGACAGUGGGCAAGGCGAGGUUGAGUUUUCCCAUAUUCUUCCUUUCACAUGCUGGAUCAUACACGAGCACCUGGCUGCCCCAGACACAGGACAGACCCAGCCCCACUGCUCCCGUGCAGUGGGUUCUUGCAGAGGAGGCUCAGCAAUGAAACAGCAAUGCGGUGGCAGCACGGAGGCUUCUGCCUCCCCCGGUAGUACAGGGAAUCUCAUAAUGAAAGUUGCCUUGGUGGAAGUCCCAGCUGGGCUCACACAGACCCUGGAGGCCCCGAGCCAAGGUUAUCAAUCACGGAUGCACUCCAGCUCCAGGUUUAUUUUCCUGGCUGUGUGGUCUUUGCUCUGCUCUGAAACUAUGUCUGCAUGAAGACAGUCCAGCCGUUACACAAGCUUCAAGAUAAACUCCUCACAAACCACGAUGAAAAUUGCGAGGAAAGGAGAUAAAGGGAAACAGCAAAUAAAUCACAUUGUAUUUUUUCCACCUGGCUGAGCUCCAUCCUUUAUCUCCCGUCUCUUCCCUCUUCCUCCCAGCUGCUCUGCAGCUCGGCCCCACAGCUCUGUGCUCAGCCCUCUCCUCUCACAGCAGUUCUUAUUCCAAUGGCUGGGAGGGGA